rnacentral:lncRNA from 1 species
UUAACUGAGUCAAGCCUUCAUGUUUUUUUAUUAAAUAGGUUUACGUUUUUAAUCAUGUCAAUCUUAUUCAAAGACAUAUACUACACUGCUCUUUUUGUAUACACGUGUAAACAUGUGUUAUCAUUCUCAUCUAGACAAUUUUGUUUCCUUUAAUCGAAUAGCAUUAUUAUGAACAUGUUUAUAAAAUCAAUUUAAUUGGACAAUACUCGAUGUUGGAAGAAUAAAUCUACUUUAUCAAAUGAACAUAUUUCUAAGUAGUUAAUUACUCAAAAACAAGAAAGGAAGAAGCACACUCAGAGGGCUUUAUACAAUUUUGUUUAUUCAUUUUUCAUUUUGAUACACCUGAUCUGAGUGUGAUGCAGCACCGUCAGUUCCAGGUUGACCUCAGGAUGAGAUGUGAUCAACAAUAAAACAUUGAAUAUAUCAUUGAGGUAGCAACUAUACUGACAAGUUCUAUAAUAUGCAGGCCUUCAG